UCCUCCCUUCCCUCUCCCUCUCUCCCUCUCUCUACCUCUCUCUCUUCCUCCCUUCCAGCCUUUUUGUGGGGCUCUCCCUCCUCGCAUCAGCCCCGCCGCAGAGCCGACCCCCGCCUCGCCCCCCUCACCCGCUCCCCGCCAUCCCUUACAUAAGAGACUUCCCGCCCCGGCGGGCGCUCCCCACAGGUGCGUCUCCAAAAGCGCGGGAGCGCCUCCUCGCCCCUGCCUCCCUCAGCCCGCGCCGAGCGGGGAACGGGCAGCCGGGCCGGGCUGCGCUGGGCGAGCCGGGGGCAGCUCCGCGGCAGGAAAGCUCCUCUGCCGAUAAGUAGAGCGCUCCUUCUCCCGGGAACUCCUCUCCGAGCGCUCUCCGGGGACGCACUCACCUGCGAGGCAAGGGCAGGUGCGGCGGGCGGAGCGGCGUCCAUGGGCCGCACCUCUGCCAGGGCCGGGCGGGAGCGGGCGCUGCCCCGGCCCCGGCGUGCCCAGCACAGUUCUGCUAACAAGUUGAGAAACAUGAAAGAUUUCCCCAUUCCACACCAUCAUCUUCCACUUUCAAGACUUCAAGAAUUUCAAGACUUCAAGAAUUUCAAGACUUCUCUUUUUGACAUUGCUUUAAGAACUUCCAAGAAUUGUAAGUGUUGGCAGCAUGAUCUAAAGCACACUCAAGUAAGUCUUACAAGAUCUGGACUCCACAGAUCUGCACUAUUCUAUUCACAGUCCUUACCAAGCUAAACCUUAGGGAAGAAUUUUAUUUUCAAUGACUACAUUUCCCACUUUUAAUCUCUUCUUUUCAAUGUACUGCAUACCCUCCCAGAACGGUACCUUUCCUUCUGUAUGUUCACACUAACUUUAUAAAAUUAGUAAAACUCUCAAUUUAUACUCUAUAAAUAAGAGGAGACACGUGCCACUGUAAAUUAUUUAUUCAGUGCCAUUACAUUCAUGACACUUUGUAGAACAAAUCAAGUCCUAUGACAAAAUUCUGAUGCUUUAUCUAGG
rnacentral:lncRNA from 1 species